rnacentral:lncRNA from 10 species
CUCCUCCCAGCAGAGGAUCCCAGUGCCCUCCUGGCCUGAAGGCCCUGCAGGCCUGGCCUUCCCAACUUCCUCUCUGCCCUUGUCCCCCGUCGUCCCUCUAGUUGGCCUGGCCCUCCCAACUUCCUCUCUGCCCUUGUCCCCCGUCGUCCCCCUAGUUGGCCUGGCCCUCCCAACCUCCUCUCUGCCCUUGUCCCCCGUCGUCCCCCUAGCUGGAGGGUGCCCCAGCCUGGCUGACCUCAGUUCUUGUCCCCAGCACACACAACUCUUCCCAGCCUCAAGGCCUUCACCUGGCUGUGCCGCUGCCUGCAAUGUUCCUCCCCAGUCUUGUCAGGGCUGGCUCCUGGGGAGAAGAUCUCUGCUCAGAUGUCACUUCCCCGGAAGGGCCUUCCACGGCCACCCACGUCGUGUCUCCCCACGCCUGCCCCCACACUCGCUAGCCCGCCGUCCCCUCUUCCUGCUUCCGUCCUCCACAGCAGUCAUCACCAUCUGAUAUUCCUGUGUAUGCAUCGGUUUGCCUUUCUGGCUCCUGGUUUUGCUCUGCCUCCCCGCUGGAAGACGUGAGGCCCGGAGUGUACAGCCAAUGGUUGUCACACACAGUAUCCCCCCAAGAGAAACCUGCAGCCCAGCAGCUCGGCUGCAGUACAGAGACCCCCAACCUGGCAGAGGCCUUGACACAAAACAGUUUUGCACCAAAUGAUGCAUACGUGAAGGCACAAUGAAGUGAACAGCAAGCGUUCAAGGAAAAGGCCUUGCAUGGCAUAACAAAAUUCUGGAACAUCUUUUAUUCCAACCACAGGGUUUUGCAGGAAAGCGUCAGGAUUUCCUAUAAAGAUAACUGAGCCUCACAGUCGGCCCAGGAGGUGUGGCUUCCUUGACUUUGGGGAGGGGAGGGUGUGAUGAGGCCCCAGAGGAUUCGCCCCAGAGUCAGAGGCUUGCUGCAGCCAGUGCCUGUAACGUUAGGAUCCAUCUCAGGCAUUAGACUUCGGUCUUUAGGGAAAUCAGGGGCUUGGGCCGGUCACCAACACCAGGGGAGGGAUGCAACUUUGGUGCACUCACGCCCGGCGUACACCCCGUGGAAGGUACAGGGAUGAGUCUGUGGCUGAGAGCGGCUCUCAUGGGGUUCUUGUACUCUCAACAGUGCAGGGGUGCCAACCUAUGUCCCAGCUCCACGGUCUUGGGACCUCAAGUCACCUUCAGCCCCUCAGGCCAGAGGACAGGAGGACCAGGACCUGUCCUUCUCUAUCAGAAGCUGUAUCAUGUCUAGGGAGAAAAUACAUAAUCAGGACAGGGGCUCAGAGGAAGCCAUAAGGGUCACCCUUGUCUCCCUGGAGUGGCACAAGCUCAGACUGAAGCCGCCCGCCUCUGCGAGAUGGAAGUUCCUUAUUCUCAGGAAGUAUGCUGGUGAAAGGAAAUUGCCAGGCAAUCUGGAACUUUUACUCUUUCAAGCCCCAGGAAGAAGAAUUGAACCAGUGGCAGGCAGCUAGGUGCUCUGUUUGGCAGAGUGGGCAGGUGCUGUCCCGCUGCGGGGAGUCCGACCCUGUCCCCCUCGGCAGGGUUUCCGAUACCAAUGCACCCACCAUCCUGGGGAGGAAGGCUGAACCUCCUGCAGAGUCACUGGGGAGGAAGCAGCUGUUUAAGAUUUCGUCUAAACUUCUUCCCACACCUCAUGAGAAAGGACCCAGGAGGGUGCGUCCGUCCGUGUGAAUGCACUUGCAGAUGGCUGUAAUCACCCUAACCGCGCGACUUAACAUUUGUAAAGAGCUUAGCACGGUGCUGGCUCAUAGUAAGCGCUGCGCAGCUGCUUGUUAAAUAAAUAAACAUAAAUGGGGAACAUCUAUAGUGUGCCAAGGAUGGGAAGGAGAGUAAAGAGUGCAGAAAUGAAGCCCAAAAAACUGAGGAUGGUGGGCAGAAGGGAACGUGAGUGGCUGGAGUCGAGGAUGGAAGGAGCAGAGGUGAGGGAUGCCGUCUGAGCUGGACCAGAAAGGCUACCAGGAGGAGGUGGCCUAGCCAGGCUCUCAGCUACCCCAGGUGAGCUUUAAAGCUCUUGGGAUUCUCAGAAGGCAGGCCUUGUGUUCACAAAACACAUUAAGAAUCUGAAAACCCUCCUAUGGAAACUGGAUGUCCAUGGAUUCUGUUGGAGGAAAAAAAAAUCCGCACCCUCCCCCCGCCCCCCACCCCCAAGACAGAACUUCAUGCUUUGGCUGCGUUUCUGAGCUUCGGCCGGCAGUUUCC